ACAAAUAAAUAAAUAAAAUUUAUAUAAUCCACUCUAACUUCCAAACCAAAAGAUUGCAAACUUUUGUUUACUUUUACUGUUAUCAGUUGCAAUGGCCUAUGACUGUUCUCACAGCUCACCUUCUAGGGUGACAGUCACCAUGAGCCAGGGUUUGGUCCUCAGCUAUGUAGCUCCUGGCCCUCAGUUUAGUCAAGGCCCUUAGAAGGGUACUGGGGGCUGGAAGGAGGACUGAGUCAGCCAGCAAACUCCUGGAGACUUGCAGAAACAAACAAUGCACCAUGCUGGUGUUCCCACAGAGAACGACCCACCUGCAGCCAGGCACCCCUUCCCUGAAAGCAGCAGAUGGUGAGCAGAGGGUCCAAGCUCAGGGUGACAAGUGGUUGCCACCUCAAGUCCUCCAUGGAGCAUGGCGGGGUAAAAGCCAACCAGUAACAACAGGGCCCGAUGGUUUUGAGGGCUGUGGUGUAUAAACUGCCAGAGUUUGAGGAUCGGCCCCAGGCACAGACCUGCACCUGGCCAGGGUACGCUGGGCGCUCACUCCCAACUCCCUGGGGUUAUGAAAUGGGUACGUGUGGCUGCUUCCCUGAACCCCAGCUCCAGCCUCUCUGCCCCUCGGCAAAGUCUAGAUGGAUUAUGAUGCAAUCCAUUAUGUUUUAGCUCAGCCAGAGCAUUUCAAUUGAUUAUGAUGUUAACCCCAGCCAUUUUGCUGUAAUUGAUUCCUAUGGGCCUUUGUCAAUUGCUUCAGCCACACUAUAGAUGCAAAGCCAAAAGGUGCAGUGACCUGGAGCCCUAGUCUUCAGGGCCAAAUGGUCACCCUUACUGCUAAAGCUAUCCUGAGCACAGCCUGCAGAAUGACCCAUCUUCCACAGGCGGCCCUGAGUUACCAGACAAAGAUUAAAUUGUGGUUGGAAUACUUCGGUUAAGGAUAGCAAUAUUUCUGAUAAGAUGCUAAUUUCUUGUGUGUCCCACAUGGGAUGUUUGAUUCAGUUCUGUGAUACUACCUGGGGCCUCUUGCAUGGCUGCUUACAUCAGUUUCAAACGCUAAUGGUGAAGUUUGGCACACAUCUGUUUCACAUCUGGCUUCCCGAUGCAACGCCUGCCUUGUGCUGCCUGCUUUGAGGUCAGAACAUAAUCGUGGUGGGCACCCCCAAGUGGGUGAGAAAAGGGCACUUCUGGUGAGUUGUCUGUUCCAUAUGCGGUAAUUUACAUAACUAUUGAUCUCUAGCAAUAAUGCUGAUUUUGCCCCUGAGUCCCCUUUAUAAAUCUUCAUUGGGUGGUCCCAGCGAAGACUCAAGGCUGGAAGAAGUGAAGUCACUUGCUCUGUGAGUGGCAGAACCCUAAGUCUUCAUCUUGUGUCCUCCUGCCUCUAUUGGUGGCAUUUGUCAAGUCCUCUCCACAUCAAGGGGGGGGGGUCACCUCCCUGAGACCCCCACACUCCACCCAUUCAGCUCUGUAGUGCCAGCAUGUGGCCCAAACCCUCUUUCAGUUUCUUGCCCCUGAAGGCUGUGACCAUGCCUCUUCCCAAGCCCCCAGAAGUCAUGUCCACUGCCCUCACUGUGCUGCCUUGGUGGCAGAGUGGGAACCUGUCUGCUUGGUGGCCUCCUCAAGACUGCUCUGUUUACCAGAACCCUGCCCCAAAGGUGGCAUCAGGGACCGAAUGAUUUGGAUGCCCCUGAUGUAUUCUAUUGAAACUACUUGAGCCCCGGGAAGAUCUGAGCUAGGGUGGGGGGAAGCCAGACUCGGGGCUUGGGGAGGGCUGAGUUACCCCAGGCAGGAUCUUGGCUAGGUGAGAGUGCUAGGUGGGUAGAGAAGUUUUCCAGGAAGUUGGAAGCUUAGGAAGGACACAGGAACAGGAAAUACCACCUUCAGGGGGUAACAGAGGGCACCUGUCUGCUUGUGAGGGUUCUAACCAAAGACCAAAUAGCUCCUUCCUUUCCCAGACUUUGGUGAGAUGGUACUUAGGAUCUUGCAUGACCAGGACCCAUGCUGUGGUCAUCUGGUACAAUUAAGACCUCUUAGGAAGUGUUUGCUAUGUGGGAUGGGGUGGGGAAUAAAGGCCAGCCUGAGGAUUGUGAGCCCAUGAGAGCCACGACCUGAGGGCCCAAAGGACCCAGACACCACGGGGCUGCCUAUCACCUCCUAUGUAUCCCUCCCUCGACAUCAGCCAUUUCCUCUGCCUCCUCCACCACCCAAUCAUGACCAUCCUGGACCCGCCUGCUUGCGAGGAGUCUCUGAAAUUUGCAGGUCACCUCCAUGGCUCUCAGGAUAAAGUUCAAAAUUCCCGAUGGAGCCAGCAUGCUCUGCCCUCUGGUCCUACCCAUCCACUCAGGAGUCUCUGCCACUCUGGGCCUCCCUCCGUGGUCAGCUCUGCUCUUACUGCAAGUAGUGGGACCUGGGACUCCUGCCCGAGCACCCAGACGUGCCCACUCCCCAGGACCUUCCUUCAUGAGGUUGUGUGUUACUGGUGUGGAGGCCUGGGUGUGCUGCCUCCCACCUGUCUGUGAGCCCACUCAGGCAGGGACCAUAUCUGCCCCGUUCACUAGCUGAUUCUCAGCGGCUGCCACCAUGCUCUGUUCACAGUAGGUGCUCAAUUGUUGGAUGGCUGUUGGAGCCCAGGGAGGACGCUUCCAGGUGACCAUGGUCCUUCUUAAGUGUCACAGUGGUGGACACACAGCGAGUGUGCACAAUGUGACCACAGCAGCAUCACCUCCUUUCUAGACUGGACGAAGCCCUCGCCACGGACAUAUCAAGAUGGUGUGGGUGUAUCUUGGGGCAAUGAGAAGGGUGAAACUGAAGAAAGGGCAGAAACCAUGGCCCUGGAACCCAGCAGCAUCUCCCUGUGGCCAAGGCAGCAUCUCCCAAGCCAGGGUGCCUGGGGUCCCGCUACAGCACAGUGAGAUGACUUCUUUCUGGGGAGCUCACUUCAGCCUGCAGGCAGUACGGAAGCCGGGUACCAUGGGAUCAGAGAGGAUGUUUCCAUCGCCCAUUCCAUUCCAGAGACCCCAUGUAUCAGAAGCAGCUGUGAAUCCUGAGAGUUGAAAAUUCCCUCCCAGACGAAUGAGGGGUGUUGAGGAAGUAGCUGCUUGUCAGCCAUCAUCAGCGACAGACACCUCACCCUGAACUACAGCAGGGCCCCGGGCAUGCCUGGGACCUCAGGGGGCCCAGGCCACUGUCAUCAGGGGAGAGUUGGCUCCGAGCUGACUCCAAGGAACCCCCACCCCACCUCGACCUUCUCUCCUCCUCUGAACCCCACCCCAUACCUGGCACACACACCUGUCCCCGCACCUGUCUCCAGCUCUCACGGGCAUCAACUUGACGUUAACUAUGAUGGCGCCGCUCUCGUUGGUGGCUCAAGUAGUUGGUUCCAAACACUGACUCUGAUCUGGCUGCUGUCCUGUGGCCAGCUCCAACUCUCCCCACCCCCAGGACCUUAGCCUAAUGGAGGAAGCCUAUGAAUUCCAGGUGACCUCAUUACUACCUGGGGAUGUUGGGCAAAGGAAUGCUCUUCUGUGCACCCAGUGUCCUCCUCUCUCAAAUGUACCUUGGUGCCUCAUCUCUCACUCACACUGAUGAGACGCUCUUUGCCAGGCUGCAGGACAAGAUGGAGCUUGGCACUAUGGAGGGCAGACAGACCAGUGAGGAUAGAGGCUAUUGGCAGAAGGACAUAUCUCCAGCUAUGUGGGGAUGGUGGGGAUGGUGGGGACAGAGAGGGCAGAGAUACUGGCUGGUGCCUGGAAGCAGGAUGCUCUCAGGUUGGCCCUGUCCCCACCUGCCUGCUUUGGGCUCUGUGUUUCCUAGGGCUAGUGCUUGCUUUGACCCCCCCUUGGGGCCAGAUCCUUCAUCAGGGCUCCUUGGGCCAAUGUAGUGCUCACACUGCCCUGUGAGCCAGCACCAUGCUCUCCACACUCCAGCUGGUGCCCUUGGGGACAUCUUGUUGUGAGCCCAGGCACCAGCCCAGCCAGGGUUUCAAGGGGCCUGAACUGAUACAUCAUCCUUGCUGGGCCUCUGUCCCCCAGGCUCUAAGCUCCCCCAGGGGAAAUGGGACAGCCUUCACCUGCCAGCCAAUUCUUGCCCCACACUUAACCUUCCAGCCACAUCCUUCCCAUAAAACAAGGGCGCCAACACUAGGAACGUGUGGAAAAUCACACCAUCCCAGCUAAGUUGUUACAAUGAUGAUGCCACCCAGGCUCUGCCUGUGUGGCUGGUGGGGACACUGCCUUCAAGUCUUGGCCUGCAAUAUGCAGGAGCAGCUCAGCUGGGGGCAUGGCGGCCUCUGCACCCAGAAACCCAAGCCCCUGCAGGCACAGCCAAGCCUCAGCGAGGGCUCCCUGACCAACACUGUGCUCCCCGGGACAGCCUUCGCCUUGGCCUCCAAAGGCAUGGGUGGUGGCCCUGAGCUUGAGGCUUAUGUUUUGGUCAGCCGGCUCAGUAUUUUACCCAAAUUGGAAUUGGUUGCCCACAUUUGACAACUGGCAGCAUUUAAAAUCAAACCUGGGGGGCACCUGGGUAGCUCAGUUGGUUAAGUGUCUGACUCUUGAUUUCUGCUCAGGUCAUGAUCUCAUAGUUCGUGAGUUCAAGCCCCUCAACGUGCUCUGUGCUGAGAGCCUGGAGCCUGCUUGGGACUCUCUUUCUCUCUCUGCCCCUCCCUUGCUUGCUCUCUCUCU